rnacentral:rRNA from 1 species
GUGGGAAACGAAGUGGGAAGGCUUAGACAGCUAGGAUGUUGGCUUAGAAGCAGCCAUCAUUUAAAGAAAGCGUAAUAGCUCACUAGUCGAGUCGGCCUGCGCGGAAGAUGUAACGGGGCUGAAAUAUAGCACCGAAGCUGCGGCAUCAGGCGUAUCACUAAUACGCCUUACGAUUAACAACAUGGAAUGGUGCGAAGCGACAUGAAAGGUUGUUCAAGCAACCCGAACGUUGAGUCGGGCAUCUUUGAGUAAGGAUGAUUAGUGAUACGCCUGUUGGGUAGGGGAGCGUUCUGUAAGCGGAUGAAGGUGGCUCGAGAGGGCUGCUGGACGUAUCAGAAGUGCGAAUGCUGACAUAAGUAACGAUAAAACGGGUGAAAAACCCGUUCGCCGGAAGACCAAGGGUUCCUGUCCAACGUUAAUCGGGGCAGGGUGAGUCGGCUCCUAAGGCGAGGCUGAAAAGCGUAGUCGAUGGGAAACAGGUUAAUAUUCCUGUACUUGGUAAAGCUGCGAUGUGGGGACGGAGUAGGUUAGGUUAUCGCACUGUUGGAUAUGUGCGUUUAAGUUGGUAGGUGGGAAGUUUAGGCAAAUCCGGGCUUCCUUAACACAGAGAGAUGAUGACGAGGCUCUACGGAGCUGAAGUAACUGAUACCACACUUCCAGGAAAAGCCACUAAGCGAAAGGCUUUACUAAACCGUACUGAAAACCGACACAGGUGGUCAGGUAGAGAAUACUCAGGCGCUUGAGAGAACUCGGGUGAAGGAACUAGGCAAAAUAGCACCGUAACUUCGGGAGAAGGUGCGCCGGCGUAGAUUGUAAGGGCUAGCCCCUGAAGGUUGAACCGGUCGAAGAUACCAGCUGGCUGCAACUGUUUAUUAAAAACACAGCACUCUGCAAACACGAAAGUGGACGUAUAGGGUGUGAUGCCUGCCCGGUGCUGGAAGGUUAAUUGAUGGUGUAAUCGCAAGAGAAGCACCUGAUCGAAGCCCCAGUAAACGGCGGCCGUAACUAUAACGGUCCUAAGGUAGCGAAAUUCCUUGUCGGGUAAGUUCCGACCUGCACGAAUGGCAUAAUGAUGGCCAGGCUGUCUCCACCCGAGACUCAGUGAAAUUGAAAUCGCCGUGAAGAUGCGGUGUACCCGCGGCUAGACGGAAAGACCCCGUGAACCUUUACUAUAGCUUGACACUGAACAUUGAAUUUUGAUGUGUAGGAUAGGUGGGAG